ensembl:ncRNA F40G9.21 ncRNA
UGGAACCCUGGAACCCUGAAAACCUGGCACCCUGAAUCCCUGGAAACCUGGAACCCUGAAUCCCUGGAACUCUGGCACCCUGGAAACCUGGAACCCUGGAAACCU